AGCGAACGCUGGCGGCAGGCCUAACACAUGCAAGUCGAACGAAGUCUUCGGACUUAGUGGCGGACGGGUGAGUAACACGUGGGAACGUACCUUUUGGUUCGGAACAACUCAGGGAAACUUGAGCUAAUACCGGAUGAGCCCUUAGGGGGAAAGAUUUAUCGCCGAAAGAGCGGCCCGCGUUAGAUUAGCUAGUUGGUGAGGUAAAGGCUCACCAAGGCUACGAUCUAUAGCUGGUCUGAGAGGAUGAUCAGCCACACUGGGACUGAGACACGGCCCAGACUCCUACGGGAGGCAGCAGUGGGGAAUUUUGCGCAAUGGACGAAAGCCUGACGCAGCCAUGCCGCGUGAAUGAUGAAGGUCUUAGGAUUGUAAAAUUCUUUUACCAGGGACGAUAAUGACGGUACCUGGAGAAAAAGCCCCGGCUAACUUCGUGCCAGCCGCCGCCGUAAUAC
rnacentral:rRNA from 1 species